rnacentral:rRNA from 1 species
UACGGAGGGGGCUAGCGUUGUUCGGAAUUACUGGGCGUAAAGCGCACGUAGGCGGCUUUGCAAGUUAGAGGUGAAAGCCCGGAGCUCAACUCCGGAAUUGCCUUUAAUACUGCAUCGCUAGAAUUGUGGAGAGGUAAGUGGAAUUCCGAGUGUAGAGGUGAAAUUCGUAGAUAUUCGGAAGAACACCAGUGGCGAAGGCGACUUACUGGACACAUAUUGACGCUGAGGUGCGAAAGCGUGGGGGGCAAACAGG